UGGUGGCUAUGGCAGGAGGCCCGCACCCGAUCCCAUCCCGAACUCGGAAGUGAAAACUCCUCGCGCCGAUGGUACUUUGUCUUAAGGCACGGAAGAGUAGGUCGUUGCCAGGC
rnacentral:rRNA from 1 species